UUCAUGAUAAUAUUUUGGGGGGUAGUAAUGAAGUUAUUGAUUUACAGCAAAAAAAGCAUUUGCCAUUCGAGAACAGACACCUGUUAAGGUAACAGAUGACACCUCUACAGAAGUGGACGAGGAUGUAUUUCCUGAACUUGUUGCUGAAAGGGGCAUUUGCUUUAGUUUACAUACUAAUAAUGAUUCCACUUCUGCACAUAAGUUGUCCCCUCUUCUGACUGAUGGGAACUCUGUCAGCAAGACUUCAACCUUUACUGAAUGCAAUGAAGGCAACAAAACGUCUGCAUUUCAUUCCAAAAGACCCAGGUUGGAUGAUUCCAAGCUUGCAAAAGAGACCAUUGAAGACAUCCUAAAGUGCAAACCUGGUGGUGUAGAAGUCAUGCAGCACUAUAAAGACACUGGUAAUCUCUCAACCUCCAAAAGAAAGGAGAUGAUUAAUAUAUUGGUUGCACACAUGACUGAACAAGAAGGGUAAGCUUUGUUCAUUUAAUGUGUUAAGAUCACUGUACUUACAACUUAUUCAAAUGUGACCCUGCCUGUGAAAUACUAUUAAAUAUUUAUUAAUAAAUAAAUACAUCAUCUAGUUGCUUAACCCGUGGUUUCUAAAGUGAUCCAACAUUACUUUUACGCCAAGUGUACCAAGAACCGUUUUUAUAGAUGCUAUUGUUUCUACCCCAAGUAAACAGGAGGGUUUGGUUUCAUGGUGUAUUGUUUAUUAUUGCAGAAGGAUACCGCUUAAGGCCACAAGAGAGAUGUAUGCCCUUGGCAUUAUUACUCUUUCCAAACCUAAAAGAUCCUGAAGGGAAGACAGGCUAUGAACAAUACUAUGACACACAGAGAGGCACAGGUUUUAUUAUGAAUCGCCUAAAGACGGUUCAGAGAAACACUAAUUGUAAAAUGCCCUCUCAAUCAAAUGAGAAAUCUUGUGACCCUAGAAUGGAGGAAAU